rnacentral:rRNA from 1 species
CGGCUGGCGGCGUGCCUAACACAUGCAAGUCGAGCGAGGAGAUCCUUCGGGAUGAUCCUAGCGGCGGACGGGUGAGUAACACGUGGGCAACCUGCCUCAUAGAGAGGAAUAGCCUUCCGAAAGGGAGAUUAAUACCUCAUAACAUUGCAGUUUCGCAUGGAACAGCAAUUAAAGGAGUAAUCCGCUAUGAGAUGGGCCCGCGGCGCAUUAGCUAGUUGGUGAGGUAACGGCUCACCAAGGCGACGAUGCGUAGCCGACCUGAGAGGGUGAUCGGCCACAUUGGGACUGAGACACGGCCCAGACUCCUACGGGAGGCAGCAGUGGGGAAUAUUGCACAAUGGGGGAAACCCUGAUGCAAGCAACGCCGCGUGAGUGAUGACGGCCUUCGGGUUGUAAAGCUCUGUCUUCAGGGACGAUAAUGACGGUACCUGAGGAGGAAGCCACGGCUAACUACGUGCCAGCCGCAGC